rnacentral:lncRNA from 1 species
ACUCUCAUAGCUCUAUAAAACCGGCUGCAUUCAUUCAUCUUCUGAUCAAAUUCAUUGUGAAGCUCAUACCUAGGACACUGACUUUUUCUUUUUCUUUUUUCUUUUGGACAGGCAGAGUGGACAGUGAGAGAGAGAGAGACAAGAGAGAGAGAAAGGUCUUCCUUUUCUGUUGGUUCACCCCGCAAUGGACACUGCCGCUGGCGCACCAUGCUGAUCCGAAGCCAGGAGCCAGGUGCUUUCCCCUGGUCUCCCAUGUGGGUGCAGGGCCCAAGCACUUGGACCAUCCUCCACUGCACUCCCGGGCCACAGCAGAGAGCUGGACUGGAAGAGGAGCAUCCAAGGCAGAAUCCGGCACCCCGACCAAGACUAGAACCCGGGGUGCCAGUUCCACAGGCAGAGGAUUAGUCUAUUGAGCUGCAGUGCCGGCCUCUGGCUUUUUCUAAAGGCAGAAGGUGUGCAGUCCUGAGUCUUGCCCUUUAUUAUCUGUGCCAAGUAAGUUACUUGACUUCCUUCAGCCUCACUAUUUCCAUCAGUAAAAUGGGAUUAACAGUCCCAUUUUAGCUUAUAGGACUGACUUGCAAAUCAUGUGAGACAAAACAGGUGAAAAGACUUUUUGUCACUGACCAUGUUGUGUAAUAGUAGCUACGAUUAUGAUUAAUGCUCUUUCUUGAUGGUUCCAAGCUUUGUCCCCUCCUUUCACUCACACAUUGGCAGCAGCUUUGGAUUCUGCAAGAUCUUCUCAUAAAAAGACUGAGGUCAAUCUGAAUACAUAUUCCAGGAUUCGAAUAAAUCACUAAGGAAAAUGCAAGGAAGCAGGAAGCCUGCCAAUGACUCAGGACAGUCCAUGUUUUAUAAAAACUUGUUUCAACUGUAAAAGUCAUCCUCUUCAUGGCAUGAAGCCUGAGAAACCAAGAAGAAAAAGACGCCCUGGAGCAGGGGCUAUGUCUCAGUUGCCUGCAUCUACAGCGCCUAACAAGUGUCAGCCCUUCGAGGAGCUCUAUAGAUGUUCACGAGGAGUGCAUUUUUUGGAGACCCACAAGAAUUCAUUGCACAAGAAUCUCCACUGCUGUGCUGCUCCCAGAGAUCAGGGCAUUGCCCACUGGUCAGAAACACUGGGCGCUCUGCAGAAUACUCCAGUGGGUGCAGUGAGGUCAUUGAAAAUUGUCUGUGGAACACCGAUGUACAGCAUCACUCACUGAAAACUGUCAAACACUGAUGUCCAGCAUUACAACACUCAGAAGGCAGAAAUAACAGCUACCAUGCACCAGUAGAAGGAUGGAUGAACAAAAUGGG